UACGUAGGGUGCAAGCGUUGUCCGCAAUUAUUGGGCGUAAAGAGCUCGUAGGCGGUCUGUCGCGUCUGCUGUGAAAACUCGGGGCUUAACCCCGGGCCUGCAGUGGGUACGGGCAGACUAGAGUGCGGUAGGGGAGACUGGAAUUCCUGGUGUAGCGGUGAAAUGCGCAGAUAUCAGGAGGAACACCGGUGGCGAAGGCGGGUCUCUGGUACGUGACUGACGCUGAGACGCGAAAGCGUGGGGAGCGAACAGG
rnacentral:rRNA from 1 species